UACGUAGGGUGCGAACGUUAAUCGGAAUUACUGGGCGUAAAGCGUGCGCAGGCGGUUUUGUAAGCCAGAUGUGAAAUCCCCGGGCUCAACCUGGGAAUGGCAUUUGGGACUGCAAGGCUGGAGUGCGGCAGAGGAGACUGGAAUUCCUGGUGUAGCAGUGAAAUGCGUAGAUAUCAGGAGGAAUACCGAUGGCGAAGGCAGGUCUCUGGGCUGACACUGACGCUCAUGCACGAAAGCGUGGGGAGCAAACAGG
rnacentral:rRNA from 1 species